rnacentral:lncRNA from 1 species
UCCAAGGACUGAUCAAUGAGGGAUAGAUUGGAUUCCUGGUGAAGGGAGUUACUCAAUACUUUAGACCGAGGAGAACAUCCAAAUGUCUCUGGCACAUGGAAUCUGGACUGGCAACACAGUCAGGAACUUCACCACCACUGGGGUAGGUUCUAGUUGUUGACCCUUCUGAUAUUCUCUAGCUCGUCUAUUCUUGAACCAGGUGUGGAGAAACAAAGGAAAGGACAGCUCAUAAAUGGGUUUCUCUGUGUAUAGUCAUGGCUGUCUGGAACUCACUCUGUACACCAGGCUGGCCUCGAACUCAGAAAUCUGCCUGCCUCUGCCUCCCAAGUGCUGGGAUUAAAGACGUGAUCCACCACCACCUGGCAAACAGGAUGAAUUGAACAUGAAUUUUCUUUUGUCGAUCAUGUGGGUAUGCUGGAAGGCCACAAGCUUUUCAUCCAGGAUCUAUAAAUUGCUGCUCUGGCAGUGGCAAGCAUGUUUUCCUCUGAGACUUACUUAGACUCACAUAUCCUAAUCAAGAACUUCCAAGAUAUGUUGACAUGGAAGAUUCCCCAGAAUAUUCCAGAAUGACUCAAAUACAUACUUGAAAACUCUAAAUCUGUUUCUGGUUAAACAUGUUCUCCUGGGACUUAGCUGUUGUUGCAUCUGCUGUUGUAGAGGCCAUGGUUCGCAGCAUAUCUACUUCAUAGCAACUCCCCUUCUGUUGCCAUGAAAAAAAACAAAAAACAAAAAUACCAGAGCUGACCAUCAUGAGAUAGUCAAAGUCCAUGGCCUAAGAAGAUUACUAAAUUGGACAGAAACACUCAUAUCACUGCUGGAUCCAGCAAUGCAAGGGAAAUAUGGUCUGAAGCAGACAAAUGAGUCAAAGUAACUCUUCCUCCCACGCUUAGGAUGUAGAGUUGUUUUGGUCCAUGUCUGCUUAGUUGGCAUGGUCGCAUGGGGAGAAGGGUCACUGGGUGUGUGACUGAACUUAUUCCACUCAGCCGCGGGGGCAGGUGCUGGGCUGUAGUAAAGUGCUGUGGCACUGUUCAGGGGGUGAUAAAGCACAGUCUGAGGUGUGGAAAAGCCGGAGCU